rnacentral:rRNA from 1 species
UGAGGAAUAUUGGUCAAUGGGCGAGAGCCUGAACCAGCCGAGUCGCGUGAAGGAAGAAGGUUCUAUGGAUUGUAAACUUCUUUUGCAGGGGAAUAAAGGACGGUACGUGUACUGUUUUGUAUGUACCUUGCGAAUAAGGAUCGGCUAACUCCGUGCCAGCAGCCGCGGUAAUACGGAGGAUCAGAGCGUUAUCCGGAUUUAUUGGGUUUAAAGGGUGCGUAGGUGGAUUGUUAAGUCAGUGGUGAAAGUUUGCAGCUCAACUGAAAAAUUGCCGUUGAAACUGUCGAUCUUGAGUGCAAAUGAGGUAGGCGGAAUGUGUGGUGUAGCGGUGAAAUGCUGAGAUAUAACACAGAACUCCGAUUGCGAAGGCAGCUUACUGGGAUGCAACUGACACUGAUGCACGAAAGCGUGGGUAUCAAACA